GGCCAGGUAGCUCAGCUGGUAGAGCAACGGACUGAAAAUCCGUGUGUCGGCGGUUCGAUCCCGUCCCUGGCCACCA
rnacentral:tRNA from 1 species